UCUUUCUGUAUUGCAGCCAUGGGGAGGGUCACGGCAUCGCCCAAGCGCGAGGAUCCGCCGCAGACGCCCGCUGGGAUGGCUGGGAGCCAUCUGAACAACAUCCCGCUGAGCGUGGCGAUGGAGAGAUUGGGGCUUCGCUCGCAAAUGCGUGACAAUGGGCCAGUCGUCUUUGAUGGCCUCCAGCAGCAGCAGCAGAUUGGGCGGCGAUCCAAGCUCGUCCAGGAGAAGGCGGCCAUGGACAAGGCGAUCAUCGAGAUCAUCACCAGCGGCCAGUGGGAGCGAUUGGAGCCCAACUCGAGCAAAUCCAUCGCGGUGGGGAAUCACCAUGUCUGCGUGAGCUACGAUGAGGAGAUGGAGGUGGGAUAUCGGACGUGGGAGUGGCACGGCCAUAUGCUUCUCUACGACGAGGAAGAAGGGAUGUACAAGCCCGAGUACGUCUAUGGGAAUUACUUCGAGCCUCUCCAGGGAGUUCUCAAGAUCGCCUCCAACGUGGGAUCAAUGGAAUGGAGAGGAUGAUGUCUCUCUUGGGAAGGCAGCACCGCUUCUACUAAUGAUCGAUCACUUUACCGCUUGAGGUUUGCAUUGUCUUUCGAUACUCGAUCGAAGUUUCCAAAAGCUGGUCUCCGUAGAAAUGUAGACGAUUAUAGUAGCUUCUUUCAGAAUGUAAGUUUUGACCAGUGGGAUCUAUUCUAUGCACUUAGGCAUUAAACGUCUUAAUAAUUAGGGGAUGUAGCUAAAUUAGUACUAAGAAGGUAUCUUUUAUGUUAUUUAGUCUAUUCAAAAAUCAAAACCUUGUUUUCAAAUUU